rnacentral:rRNA from 1 species
GAGUUUGAACCUGGCUCAGGAUGAACGCUGGCGGCGUGCCUAAUACAUGCAAGUCGAGCGAACCACUUUGGUGGUGAGCGGCGAACGGGUGAGUAACACGUAGGUGAUCUGCCCAUCAGACGGGGACAACGAUUGGAAACGAUCGCUAAUACCGGAUAGGACGAAAGUUUAAAGGUGCUUCUGGCACCGCUGAUGGAUGAGCCUGCGGCGCAUUAGCUAGUUGGUAGGGUAAAGGCCUACCAAGGCGACGAUGCGUAGCCGACCUGAGAGGGUGAACGGCCACACUGGGACUGAGACACGGCCCAGACUCCUACGGGAGGCAGCAGUAGGGAAUCUUCGGCAAUGGGCGAAAGCCUGACCGAGCAACGCCGCGUGAAUGAUGAAGGCCUUCGGGUUGUAAAAUUCUGUUAUAAGGGGAGAACGACUUUAGUAGGAAAUGGCUAGAGUGUGACGGUACCUUAUGAGAAAGCCACGGCUAACUACGUGCCAGCAGCCGCGGUAAUACGUAGGUGGCGAGCGUUAUCCGGAAUUAUUGGGCGUAAAGAGCGCGCAGGUGGUUGAUUAAGUCUGAUGUGAAAGCCCACGGCUUAACCGUGGAGGGUCAUUGGAAACUGGUCGACUUGAGUGCAGAAGA